rnacentral:rRNA from 1 species
UACGUAGGGGGCGAGCGUUGUCCGGAAUGACUGGGCGUAAAGGGCGCGUAGGCGGCCGAUCAAGUCUGGAGUGAAAGUCCUGCUUUCAAGGUGGGAAUUGCUUUGGAAACUGGUUGGCUUGAGUGCGGAAGAGGUAAGUGGAAUUCCCAGUGUAGCGGUGAAAUGCGUAGAGAUUGGGAGGAACACCAGUGGCGAAGGCGACUUACUGGGCCGUAACUGACGCUGAGGCGCGAAAGCGUGGGGAGCGAACAGGAUUAGAUACCCUGGUAGUCCACGCGGUAAACGAUGAAUGCUAGGUGUAGGGGGUAUCGACCCCUCCUGUGCCGCAGUUAACACAAUAAGCAUUCCGCCUGGGGAGUACGGCCGCAAGGUUGAA